AGAGUUUGAUCCUGGCUCAGGAUGAACGCUGACAGAAUGCUUAACACAUGCAAGUCUACUUGAAGUAACUUCGGUUAUGGAUGGUGGCGGACGGGUGAGUAACGCGUAAAUAACUUGCCCCCUAGUCUGGGACAACUGUUGGAAACGACAGCUAAUACUAGAUAUUAUGAGACCUUGGCAUCAAGGACUUAUGAAAGCUAUAUGCGCUAGGGGAGAGAUUUGCGUCCUAUUAGCUAGUUGGUGAGGUAAUGGCUCACCAAGGCGACGAUAGGUAGCCGGCCUGAGAGGGUGAACGGCCACAAGGGGACUGAGACACGGCCCUUACUCCUACGGGAGGCAGCAGUGGGGAAUAUUGGACAAUGGACCAAAAGUCUGAUCCAGCAAUUCUGUGUGCUUGAUGAAGGCCUUCGGGUUGUAAAGAGCUUUAAGUAGGGAAGAAGAAAGUGACGGUACCUACAGAAUAAGCGACGGCUAAAUACGUGCCAGCAGCCGCGGUAAUACGUAUGUCGCAAGCGUUAUCCGGAAUUAUUGGGCAUAAAGGGCGUCUAGGCGGUUUAGAAAGUCUGAUGUGAAAAUGCGGGGCUCAACCCCGUAUUGCGUUGGAAACUACUAGACUAGAGUAUUGGAGAGGUAAGCGGAACUACAAGUGUAGAGGUGAAAUUCGUAGAUAUUUGUAGGAAUGCCAAUUGGGAAGCCAGCUUACUGGACAAAUACUGACGCUGAAGCGCGAAAGCUAGGGGAGCAAACAGGAUUAGAUACCCUGGUAGUCCUAGCUGUAAAC
rnacentral:rRNA from 1 species